rnacentral:lncRNA from 1 species
UUUGAAUUGAAGUAAUCUACAAAAGAAAUGUGGUCCAGACUUUAGACUUUGUUGGGACUGUGAUGAUCAUUUCUGGCUUUUGGCAAUCUGGAUCUGAACCUUUGGUUUUAUUUAGCUUUCCAGUUCUCAGGGAACAAUAGAAACCAGUCUUCAGGAUAUCGACAGCAGAUUAUCUCCAGGUGGAUCACUGGCAGACGCAUGGGCACAUCAAGAAGGCACUCAUCCGAAAGACAGAAAUGUAGAAAAACUACAAGUCCUGUUAAAUUGCAUGACAGAGAUUUACUAUCAGUUCAAAAAAGACAAAGCAGAACGUAGUAAGUAAAAUUUGCUAUUUGUUAAUUUAAUAAAUCCCUCUUAGUAAUUAGUUAUAAUUCAGUUAAAUUAAUUUGGUAUAUCUGUAAGGGUAGCUUCUUAAGCUGUUUUUUUCAGAGAUGUGAUUCUGUCAGGAAAAAGGUUGAUUGUGUUAAAAA